AUGUUUUCAAACAUAUUAGGCAUGGGUGGUACUCAGAUCGUCAUACCAUCCUUCUCUCAUCUCCGCCCUUCUCUCAUACCGGGAUAUACGGUCAUACCGUCCUUCUCUCAUACCGGGAUAUACGGUCAUACCAUCCUUCUCUCAUCUCCGCCCUUCUCUCAUACUGGGAUAUACGGUCAUACCGUCCUUCUCUCAUACUGGGAUAUACGGUCAUACCGUCCUUCCCUCAAACCGGGAUAUACGGUCAUACCGUCCUUCUCUCAUACCGGGAUUUACGGUCAUACCGUCCUUCUCUCAUACCAGGAUUUACGGUCAUACCGUCCUUCUCUCAUACCGGGAUAUACGGUCAUACCGUCCUUCUCUCAUACCGGGAUAUACGGUCAUACCGUCCUUCUCUCAUACCGGGAUAUACGGUCAUACCGUCCUUCUCUCAUACCGGGAUAUACGGUCAUACCGUCCUUCUCUCAUACCGGGAUAUACGGUCAUACCGUCCUUCUCUCAUACCGGGAUAUACGGUCAUACCGUCCUUCUCUCAUACCGGGAUAUACGGUCAUACCGUCCUUCUCUCAUACCGGGAUAUACGGUCAUACCGUCCUUCUCUCAUACCGGGAUAUACGGUCAUACCGUCCUUCUCUCAUACCGGGAUAUACGGUCAUACCGUCCUUCUCUCAUACCGGGAUAUACGGUCAUACCGUCCUUCUCUCAUACCGGGAUAUACGGUCAUACCGUCCUUCUCUCAUACCGGGAUAUACGGUCAUACCGUCCUUCUCUCAUACCGGGAUAUACGGUCAUACCGUCCUUCUCUCAUACCGGGAUAUACGGUCAUACCGUCCUUCUCUCAUACCGGGAUAUACGGUCAUACCGUCCUUCUCUCAUACCGGGAUAUACGGUAUUACUGGCUUAGUACACAAGGUGGCGGCAAAAAAAACAACAUUGGGCAUCUAUUACCAGAAUGCUAACAAAAUUAGCACAAGUAUUAUUGAAUUUCAAUGGAGGUUGCUAGCUAAAUAUGCUAAGGAGUGCAAAAUGAAAAUCAACUAA
rnacentral:lncRNA from 13 species